rnacentral:rRNA from 1 species
GAGCGAACGCUGGCGGCGUGCCUAACACAUGCAAGUCGAGCGCGGGCAUUUCGGGGGUAACCCCGGGAUGUGCUGAGCGGGCGGACGAGUGAGUAAUACGUGGACAACCUGCCUUAAAGCUUGGGAUAACUCCGGGAAACUGGAGCUAAUACCGGAUAAGACCACGGUGUCUAGUGGAUGCUGAGGUAAAAGGCGGCCAGGAAACUGGCUGUUGCUUAAAGAUGGGUCCACGGUCCCANCAGGUAGUUGGUGAGGUAAAGGCUCACCAAGCCAAAGACGGGUAGCUGGCCUUAGCGGGUGGUCAGCCACACGGGGA